GAUGAACGCUGGCGGUAUGCUUAACACAUGCAAGUCGAACGGUACCUUCGGGUAUAGUGGCGGACGGGUGAGUAACGCGUGAGAAUCUGUCUUCAGGUCGGGGACAACAGUUAGAAAUGACUGCUAAUACCGGAUAUGCCUUAUGGUGAAAGAUUUAUUGCCUGAAAGAGAGCUCGCGUCAGAUUAGCUAGUAGGUGGUGUAAGAGACUACCUAGGCGACGAUCUGUAGCUGGUCUGAGAGGACGAUCAGCCACACUGGAACUGAGACACGGUCCAGACUCCUACGGGAGGCAGCAGUGGGGAAUUUUCCGCAAUGGGCGAAAGCCUGACGGAGCAAUACCGCGUGAGGGACGAAGGCUUUUUGGGUCGUAAAACCCUCUUUUUCUCAAGGAAGAUUUAGACGGUACUUGAGGAAUAAGCAUCGGCUAACUCUGUGCCAGCAGCCGCUGUAAU
rnacentral:rRNA from 1 species